AGAAAGAAAGAAAGAAAACCGUUCGAAAAACGCACAUGUUGCUUUUCAUUUGAAAUUACCACGCAACAAAGCAAUCGUUUUUUUCUCUUCCGUUUAGCGACAAACAACAUAUUAUUUUCAUGAGCUUAAUUUUUGUUCUAUUCUAUAUAUAUUCUAUUUUUCAUAUUUACAUAUCUUAAAAAUGUGAUAUAAGGCAUGUGAUUUAACAACAAACAUCAUAAAUUACGAACAGACAAAAGUAUAAAGAAAAACGUAAGUAUGCUUUGUUAUGAUCAUUGUUUGUUCUCAUCGAAGAAAAAUGUUAAUUGUUGUGUACAAAUGAAUUAUUACAUAACCGAACUAAUCAGGAUUUAUUAUUAAUUUAUGUGAAUGUAUGUGAAAUAUUUAAAUUCGAAAAAUUUGUUAUAUUCAAAUAUCGUUCGGAUAAUCAACUAACGAACAGGCUUAAUGAUACAAUGGUAGAAUAAAUUCAUUCUCGUUUCAAGGUUAUAAUGAAGUUAUUUAUGUUUAUAUCUAUUAUAAUUUAUGAGUCAAAUAAGACGUUCGAACAGAUUGUUAUUUCCAGUAUUGAUAUUUUUUUACUCUUAUUUUCUUUUUUUCGUUUGUUUGUUUCGUCCUUCGAUUUCGAAUUAUCCUGUGUUUCCAAGAGUAAAGUUUGAAAUAAUUGUUUUACCUCUCUACAGAACAAUUCUUGGCAAUCGAUGUUGAGGAGCAGGAAGAGUCAGUCGAGUACGAGAUUCAGAUCAACACGGACAGAAAUCUGAAGACAGCUACACGAUACUAUGAUCUUUGAAUCUCUUAAUGGUUCUCUAUUCUCUUAUAUUUUUCAAAAGUUACGAAAUUAAAUGUUAAGAUAUCUGCUUAUAAAAUAUUAUUGAAAAAAAAUCUACUUGUGAAUUUCCAUAUAAGAAGAAAACAAGUAUUUCAUUUUCUGAAAAAGAAAAUUAGUUUUCUUUGAUUUCCUUGGUUGAAGAGAGUCAAAGAUCUUAGUCGAUGGAAAAUCUUAAAAGAAGUUGUAUUGCCGAUCCGAAGAAAGAUAGCUAGAAAUGCUAAAAGAUGAUUUUAAAAGUAUUGCACAAGAAUCAAACGAUAACAAAGUAUUACAUAUUUCUAAAGAAUAUGUUCACAAUAUUAGAAGCUUUAGUAUGGCAGCAUUUUCCAAUUUCUGUUGAUCUAGUCAAUUUUCAAAAAUAAUAGUUCUUAAUAUAGUACUUAACAUAAGUACAAAGAAUUAUAAUGUUUUAUCAUUAUCGAUUAUUACGUCACGUUAAUUCAUUGGCAACACAAUCUACAAGAUAAUCAGAGGCUUUAGAAAUGGAUGUAACCUGAACAAAUUUCAUCUUUUUAUCGUGAGAUUUUGAUAAUGAAUCUUCGAUAAUAACUACAACAACAACGUCAACAAUUUAGUUCAUAGAGUAACUAAUAUUUACAUCUUUUAGUUCCUGUAGCAUUUCUUAAGCUAAUCUAUGCAUAAUAUCUAGUCGGUAUGUACUUUUUUUUUUUGUAAGGCUACUAUCUUCGUUGUUAUCAUGAUCAUUAUCACCAUUACAAGUUUGAUGUCGCCAAAAAUCAGAUAAAUAGGUGAUAAUGUUAUCGUAUAUUUUGUUUAUGAUUUUAUAGACAGACACACAAUUACAAUCUUUUUUUUUUAUUAUAA